AGAUGGGAGAUAAGAGUUGAUGGAAGUGCGAGAGAAGAGAGGACAGAGAAGCAGAGGAGGUGGCGUAGCUGGAACCAAGAGAUGAAAGCAAAUCCCUCUGGAAUACCUGCGCUAGCUCUUCCUCGCGUGAAACGGGAAAGUUCCUGAGCAGCACGAGACGGAGGAAGCUCUGAUCCCGUCACCCGAAGCCAGCCUCCACUUUUCCACCCGUGCUUCCGCAUUCCCGCAGACGCGAGCAGGGCUAAGGAUUGGGUUAGGAUGAGGAAAAGCUCCGCGUUGCCGGAUGGGACGUGCUCGAGGCGCGGAGGGGAGAGGAACGUGAAGGAGGCCGCAGACGGCUGGGCAAGGUCACCCAGCUGUUAACAGAAGUGCCGCGAUCCAGGCGCAUGUCUCAGGAAAGGCACCUCUCGUCCCUGCCGGAGACACACGCCACGUGAGGCCUGUUGACUGUUGUAUAAUAAAUAUGAGUCAUA